GAUGAACGCUGGCGGCGUGCUUAACACAUGCAAGUCGAGCGAAGCAGUUAAGAAGAUUCUUCGGAUGAUUCUUAACUGACUGAGCGGCGGACGGGUGAGUAACGCGUGGGUGACCUGCCCCAUACCGGGGGAUAACAGCUGGAAACGGCUGCUAAUACCGCAUAAGCGCACAGAGCUGCAUGGCUCGGUGUGAAAAACUCCGGUGGUAUGGGAUGGGCCCGCGUCUGAUUAGGCAGUUGGCGGGGUAACGGCCCACCAAACCGACGAUCAGUAGCCGGCCUGAGAGGGCGACCGGCCACAUUGGGACUGAGACACGGCCCAAACUCCUACGGGAGGCAGCAGUGGGGAAUAUUGCACAAUGGGGGAAACCCUGAUGCAGCGACGCCGCGUGAGCGAAGAAGUAUUUCGGUAUGUAAAGCUCUAUCAGCAGGGAAGAUAAUGACGGUACCUGACUAAGAAGCCCCGG
rnacentral:rRNA from 1 species